GCCCAGCCAGCAGGUUGAAUGCACCAUUCCCAGUGGAUCACUGAAGUUAAGAAACUUUGCGCUUGGUUUGUAUACGGAUGGGCGACCAUGUGAGCAAUCGCGUGCUGCUGGCU
rnacentral:rRNA from 1 species